rnacentral:rRNA from 1 species
GAUGAACGCUGGCGGCGUGCCUAAUACAUGCAAGUCGAGCGAACAGACGAGGAGCUUGCUCCUCUGACGUUAGCGGCGGACGGGUGAGUAACACGUGGAUAACCUACCUAUAAGACUGGGAUAACUUCGGGAAACCGGAGCUAAUACCGGAUAAUAUAUUGAACCGCAUGGUUCAAUAGUGAAAGACGGUUUUGCUGUCACUUAUAGAUGGAUCCGCGCCGCAUUAGCUAGUUGGUAAGGUAACGGCUUACCAAGGCAACGAUGCGUAGCCGACCUGAGAGGGUGAUCGGCCACACUGGAACUGAGACACGGUCCAGACGCCUACGGGAGGCAGCAGUAGGGAAUCUUCCGCAAUGGGCGAAAGCCUGACGGAGCAACGCCGCGUGAGUGAUGAAGGUCUUCGGAUCGUAAAACUCUGUUAUUAGGGAAGAACAAAUGUGUAAGUAACUAUGCACGUCUUGACGGUACCUGAUCAGAAAGCCACGGCUAACUACGUG